rnacentral:lncRNA from 1 species
UUUAGAUGCUGUUUUAUCAUAUACCUAAUUUGGUCAUCAAAACAGCCUAUGAGGUAAGUACUAAGUAACUGAGGCACAGAGAGGAUGUGACCUCCCCAGGGUCAGACUAAGUUGCAGUCAGGAUUUGAAUCCAGACAGACUGACCGUAGAGCUCCCUGCUGGAUCUGAGGGAGCCAGAGUGCUCAAGUGUAGCUAGACUCUGGCCCACCAAAGCAUCACCACAGUUGAUGCUGAAUACUUCAUUUCAUGCAUCUGAUAAGCAUGUUCCACCUCACCACAUUUCCUCCAGAAUAGGGUCCAAGCGCAUUUCUGUGAACAUAUUUUACAGUCACCCGCUUCCCUAACAUAACACACCAGCCCACCCAGGCAGUGGAGAGACAUCGUUAGGAGCAAAAGGCUUUGCUGUCCCAGAAGUCUGGGGUUACACCCGUGCUCUCCUAUUCACUUGUAUGCUUGAGCAAUGUAUUUAACUUCUCUUUGAGCCCCAAUUUUCUCAUCUGUAAAAUGGGAAUAAUAACAAACUUGUGCAGGUGACCUGAGUUCAUCUAUGAAAGCUAUUAGUACAAUGUUUGACAAUCACUUAAGAGUUCAAUACUGUAAAUGUUAGUCAUUAUUAUUCAAAUUGAGCAUACUGCUUUAAUUAUUUAUGUUGAGGCCAUUGGAAUACUGCAUAUUUCUCAAACUUUGAUCCACAAUAAAUACGUUUGACUUCAUAAUUCCUUAAAUAUAUACCUGUGUAUAUGUGUGCACAUAUAUAUGAAAAAAAAUUUCCAAAGCAAUACUUGCCCUUAUUACAUAAGAAAACAUGGAUAAAGAGUAAGCAAAAGCUUUGAAAAUUCAGUUGUACCAUUCAUAUGCUCUGUGAGCUUGGGCAAGUUACUCCAUCUCUCUGAACCUAAUUUCUUCAUCUAUGUAGUGGAGAUAAUGGCCCCUAAUUUGUUCAGGAUUAGAGGUAAUGUAUUUACAUAGUAAGCAGGUGCUAAGUAAAUGGUACUUGUUAGAUUACCAAAAGAAUGUAACAUCCGGCUCUUUUUUAAAACUUAAUAUGCACUCUAUAUACAAACCAAGAUGCCCUGGAUGCCUGCCUGUCAGAGCCAUGCUUGGGCAUAAGUUAUUUAAAUCUAGCAUGAACAGGCCCUCUUUUUUAACCAUAGAGAUUCCACUCUCUCUCUAAAUCCUGAGGAUCUUAGAUUCUUUCCCAGGAAUCAAGACCAAAGUAGAAGAAAAGAUGGCUGGUAAGUUUCACCACACAUAUGUUGGGCAAUAGGCGUUACUUUGGUGGCUAUGGGACACAAGGGAUAGCCAGUAAGAAUGGGAACCACUCUCCAUGGAAGCUCCUUGUCCCUCUCCAAAGCACAUAUCAUUACUUCCUCUAUCACUGCUUUUUUGGAGCACAAGUCUGGCCUAAUAAAGGGCCUUCUUUGCAUUUGGCCAAAUCAGAGCCUUGAAUCUCAGGUAGGUUGGUGUCUCAAGCUGUACCCUAAACUCACAGAGUACCAGAGCUAGAACAUUAUCUUUUUUUUUUUUUUUUUUUGAGAUGGAGUGUGGUGGAACAAUCACAGCUCACUGCAGCCAUGACUUCCCAGACUCAAGCGAAGUGAGUUGGUGGGACUACAGGCAUGCACCACCACACCCAGCUAAUUUUUUAUUUUUUGUAGAGAUGGGUCUUGCCAUGUUGCCCAGGCUAGGCUUGAACUCCC